GGAUUAGAUACCCCACUAUGCUUAGCCCUAAACACAAGUAAUUAAUAUAACAAAAUUAUUCGCCAGAGUACUACCGGCAAUAGCUUAAAACUCAAAGGACUUGGCGGUGCUUUAUACCCUUCUAGAGGAGCCUGUUCUAUAAUCGAUAAACCCCGAUAGACCUCACCACCCCUUGCUAAUACAGUCUAUAUACCGCCAUCUUCAGCAAACCCUAAAAAGGAAUAAAAGUAAGCACAACCAUCAUACAUAAAAACGUUAGGUCAAGGUGUAACCUAUGAGGUGGGAAGAAAUGGGCUACAUUUUUUAAUUUAAGAAAACUUAACACGAAAGUUAUUAUGAAAUUAAUAACUAAAGGAGGAUUUAGCAGUAAACUAAGAAUAGAGUGCUUAGUUGAAUUAGGCAAUGAAGCACGCACACACCGCCCGUCACCCUCCUCA
rnacentral:rRNA from 1 species